UUCUAGCCCCGAUUGCAACGGCAUCCUUUUUUUUGGAAGGGCAAAAGCGGAGGCAAAAAAGAUAGAGCGGAAAGCGGGUGAAGUC
rnacentral:sRNA from 1 species